AUACGGAGGGUGCAAGCGUUACUCGGAAUCACUGGGCGUAAAGGACGCGUAGGCGGUUUUAUAAGUCAGAUGUGAAAGCCCACGGCUCAACCGUGGAACUGCAUUUGAAACUGUAAGACUAGAGUCUGGGAGAGGCAGAUGGAAUUGGUGGUGUAGGGGUAAAAUCCGUAGAGAUCACCAGGAAUACCGAUGGCGAAGGCGAUCUGCUGGAACAGUACUGACGCUGAGGCGUGAAAGCGUGGGGAGCAAACAGGAUUAGAUACCCUAGUAGUCC
rnacentral:rRNA from 1 species